UGAGAAGCGCUGUGGUGAGUAGCAGACCGUGCUUUUCAGGUGUUGCGCUAAUUACUCUGCCCAAGUAGCGUUGCUUUGCCUUUUGUGGAAAAUAGUUCCCAGUAUGUAUACGGUUAGAAGAUGGCUUUGUCUCAUGUGACCUUCUUAUUUGUACACCCUGUGACUAUACAAAUCACAUAUAAAAAGGAAAAUGU